UGAAAUGUAAUAAGCAUUUUGACGUGAUUUGGAACGGUUACUCGUGGAUGGAGCUGAAUUUGAAAGAGAAAAAUAAGAAGGAUUAGUUCUCCUUGGGUAAAUUGGAAGGAUAAAGGUAAUUUCUUAGAAACCGAAGGAAAUACAAGAUAACGGAUAGAGAUGUGAGACAUAAUGACUUCGUCCGAGGGUAAGAAAAGGUUUUCGCAUAUUAACGUUGCAAUUCAUUAAAAUAACACAUAGCAUGUCUUAUGUUAAGUACGUGAUUUUUGUUGUUACAUCAUUUCAUAAUGAAUCACAACAUUCGAGCAUUAAUACAAGGUCAAUAUAUAGCACUAUACAGCGUAGAGGAAUUUUUUCAAUAUUAAAUUCAUGUAUAAAUGCGUCGUCACGUAAUUUUUGGUA